AUAUGCCACAGCACUGGACCUGAGGGAAAACUCCCUAAAUUUCUCCUGCCUCUGAAACACUGCCUCCAGUUGCAUUAUCUGGUAAUUCCCACCCUUACAAAACCCGCACAAAAGUAUGCAGCUUCUGGGAAGAACACCCUCAGUGCACUGCAAAAAUAGUACCGCUCCCCAGAUUGCCUCUCAAUUGCUGUUCAGUGGACAGGUCAACUUUGCUUUGGAACUUUCUUGGAGAAGAUUUUAGCAGCCAGGUUUGUGACACUGUACUUUAUAUUUUAAAUGCUCAACAAUAACUUACUGACACUUGCACG
rnacentral:lncRNA from 11 species